UGUGGGGCAGGCCCAACCCAUGCAAGUCGAACGGAACAUGUCUAGCUUGCUAGAUGAUGUCGAGUGGCGGACGGGUGAGUAAUACUUAGGAACAUGCCUUUGGGUGGGGGAUAACUAUUGGAAACGAUAGCUAAUACCGCAUAACGUCUACGGACCAAAGGGGGGAGCUUGCUCCUCUCGCCCAAAGAGUGGCCUAAGCGAGAUUAGCUUGUUGGUGAGGUAAAGGCUCACCAAGGCGACGAUCUCUAGCUGUUCUGAGAGGAAGAUCAGCCACACUGGGACUGAGACACGGCCCAGACUCCUACGGGAGGCAGCAGUGAGGAAUAUUGGGCAAUGGAGGCAACUCUGACCCAGCCAUGCCGCGUGCAGGAAGACGGCCCUAUGGGUUGUAAACUGCUUUUAUACAGGAAGAAACACCUCUACGUGUAGAGGCUUGACGGUACUGUAAGAAUAAGGACCGGCUAACUCCGUGCCAGCAGCCGCGGUAAC
rnacentral:rRNA from 1 species